UUUGAUCCUGGCUCAGAUUGAACGCUGGCGGCAGGCCUAACACAUGCAAGUCGAGCGGCAGCACGGGAAGCUUGCUUCCUGGUGGCGAGCGGCGGACGGGUGAGUAAUGCAUAGGAAUCUGCCCGGUAGUGGGGGAUAACCUGGGGAAACCCAGGCUAAUACCGCAUACGUCCUACGGGAGAAAGCAGGGGCUCUUCGGACCUUGCGCUAUCGGAUGAGCCUAUGUCGGAUUAGCUGGUUGGUGAGGUAAUGGCUCACCAAGGCGACGAUCCGUAGCUGGUCUGAGAGGAUGAUCAGCCACAUCGGGACUGAGACACGGCCCGAACUCCUACGGGAGGCAGCAGUGGGGAAUAUUGGACAAUGGGCGCAAGCCUGAUCCAGCCAUGCCGCGUGUGUGAAGAAGGCCCUCGGGUUGUAAAGCACUUUCAGUGGGGAAGAAAGCCUUCCGGUUAAUACCCGUCAGGAAGGACAUCACCCACAGAAGAAGCASCGGCUAACUCCGUGCCAGCAGCCGCGGUAAUACGGAGGGUGCGAGCGUUAAUCGGAAUUACUGGGCGUAAAGCGCGCGUAGGUGGCUUGAUAAGCCGGUUGUGAAAGCCCCGGGCUCAACCUGGGAACGGCAUCCGGAACUGUCAGGCUAGAGUGCAGGAGAGGAAGGUAGAAUUCCCGGUGUAGCGGUGAAAUGCGUAGAGAUCGGGAGGAAUACCAGUGGCGAAGGCGGCCUUCUGGACUGACACUGACACUGAGGUGCGAAAGCGUGGGUAGCAAACAGGAUUAGAUACCCUGGUAGUCCACGCCGUAAACGAUGUCGACUAGCCGUUGGGUCCUUCGCGGACUUUGUGGCGCAGUUAACGCGAUAAGUCGACCGCCUGGGGAGUACG
rnacentral:rRNA from 1 species